rnacentral:RNase_P_RNA from 1 species
AGGCAAGAGGGUCUCAUCGCCGGUGCGCAUUGUUGUGCCGGAGGAAAGUCCGGGCAACACAGAGCACCGUGCUUCUUAAUAUGGAAGAUCUUCGCAAGGGGAUAGUAACAUAACAGAAAACAACCGCCGCUUUUGCGGUAAGGGUGAAAAGGCGGGGUAAGAGCCCACCGCCCGAAUAGUGAUAUCUCGGGGCAGUAUGUCUGACGGGUUGCAAGACCAUGUAAACCGAUGCUUGAGGGUUGCUCGCCCGAUGUCGGAGGGUAGGUUGCUUGAGCGGCAGGGUGACCUGUCGUCGAGAUAAAUGAUGAGAGUUCGUUGAACACAGAACCCGGCUUAUACCUUUUGCCUUUGC